GUCUCCGUAGGUGAACCUGCGGAGGGAUCAUUACAAGAACGCCCGGGCUUCGGCCUGGUUAUUCAUAACCCUUUGUUGUCCGACUCUGUUGCCUCCGGGGCGACCCUGCCUUCGGGCGGGGGCUCCGGGUGGACACUUCAAACUCUUGCGUAACUUUGCAGUCUGAGUAAACUUAAUUAAUAAAUUAAAACUUUUAACAACGGAUCUCUUGGUUCUGGCAUCGAUGAAGAACGCAGCGAAAUGCGAUAAGUAAUGUGAAUUGCAGAAUUCAGUGAAUCAUCGAAUCUUUGAACGCACAUUGCGCCCCCUGGUAUUCCGGGGGGCAUGCCUGUUCGAGCGUCAUUUCACCACUCAAGCCUCGCUUGGUAUUGGGCAACGCGGUCCGCCGCGUGCCUCAAAUCGUCCGGCUGGGUCUUCUGUCCCCUAAGCGUUGUGGAAACUAUUCGCUAAAGGGUGUUCGGGAGGCUACGCCGUAAAACAACCCCAUUUCUAAGGUUGACCUCGGAUCAGGUAGGGAUACCCGCUGAACUUAAGCAUAUCAAUAAGCGGAGGA
rnacentral:rRNA from 1 species